rnacentral:lncRNA from 1 species
GGUUUGGGGAUUUUUGAAAAAUCCUAUAGAGACAAAAAAUUUCUAACCAAACUAUUAAUCGGCUCCUGUUACAAGAUUACCAGCCACUGCCCACAGAAGAGCCGCUGCCCACAGGAGAGCCGCUGUCCACAGAAGAGUCACUGUCCAUAGAAGAACCUGAUUCAGACGAUUGCCAAAUGGAUUCUGAUGGUGAAAGCCAGAUAUGCCCCGAAAUUGACGAUGCUCCUAGAUAGUAGGAAGCAGUUUAAGAGA